rnacentral:rRNA from 1 species
AUUGAACGCUGGCGGCAUGCUUUACACAUGCAAGCCGAACGGUAACAGGUUAAGCUGACGAGUGGCGAACGGGUGAGUAAUGCAUCGGAACGUGCCCGGUCGUGGGGGAUAACGCAGCGAAAGCAGCGCUAAUACCGCAUACGAUCGAAGGAUGAAAGCGGGGGACCGUAAGGCCUCGCGCGAUCGGAGCGGCCGAUGUCAGAUUAGGUAGUUGGUGGGGUAAAGGCUCACCAAGCCAACGAUCUGUAGCUGGUCUGAGAGGACGACCAGCCACACUGGGACUGAGACACGGACCAGACUCCUACGGGAGGCAGCAGUGGGGAAUUUUGGACAAUGGGCGAAAGCCUGAUCCAGCAAUGCCGCGUGCAGGAAGAAGGCCUUCGGGUUGUAAACUGCUUUUGUACGGAGCGAAAAGGUCUCCUCUAAUACAGGGGGCUCAUGACGGUACCGUAAGAAUAAGCACCGGCUAACUACGUGCCAGCCGCCGCGGUAA